CUCAUUUUAUUUCUAGUAACUAUACAUCAUACAACCCCACUUUAUUAUAACUCCAUAUAUUGCCUCUUUUUUUUUUUUGUGAUGAAAUUACAUUAUAAAUAAUACAAAUCACACACACCCCACCUAAUGGUUAUUGUGGCCGAGAGUACUCGAACCUGUGACCUCUUGGACAACAGGCAACCACCCUAACCACUAGGCCAUCCCAAG
rnacentral:lncRNA from 1 species